CCUGAUCCCUUCCCGAACUCAGAAGUGAAACCUCUUAGCGCUGAUGGUCGUGUGGGAUUACCCCUGUGAGAGUAAGUCAUCGCCAGCU
rnacentral:rRNA from 1 species